CUACGGGCGGCUCCAGUAAGGAAUAUUGCGCAAUGGAGGCAACUCUGACGCAGCCAUGCCGCGUGCAGGAAGAAGGCCUUAUGGGUCGUAAACUGCUUUUAUUUAGGAAUAAACCCCCGAACGUGUUCGGGGCUGAAGGUACUAAACGAAUAAGCACCGGCUAACUCCGUGCCAGCAGCCGCGGUAAUACGGAGGGUGCAAGCGUUAUCCGGAUUUAUUGGGUUUAAAGGGUGCGCAGGCGGGCUAUUAAGUCAGUGGUGAAAUCCCGGGGCUCAACUCCGGAACUGCCAUUGAUACUGAUAGUCUUGAGUUUGGUUGAAGUGGGCGGAAUGUAGCAUGUAGCGGUGAAAUGCAUAGAUAUGCUACAGAACACCAAUCGCGAAGGCAGCUCACUAAGCCAAAACUGACGCUCAUGCACGAAAGCGUGGGGAUCAAACAGGAUUAGAUACCCCUGUAGUC
rnacentral:rRNA from 1 species